AGAGUUUUUUCCAGGUUCUCAUUGCUACAUUUUCUAUCAAAACUUAACCUUAGUUCGAAUGCAAUUAUCAAUUAUAGUUGGUCCCAGCUUUUUAUAUUUUUCUUGAAUACAACUGCCAAAGGAAUGGCCUUUUAUUUUAUACUUUAUAGUAUCACGCAUGCAUGCAUAUUCUUCCUUGGCACAUUUGCAUCUCAUGUGAAUGCUCGUCUUCUGUUCUCCUGCACUUGCAUCUGAGUUAGGAAAUUAUGGACAUGCUCAUGCAUAAGCAUGUUUUAGGUAUAAAUCUUAUUGCUCUUCGAAUGCCUUUUUACAUUGAACAGCAUAUGAUUGUCUUUCCUCCAUAUUAGAAGGGAUAUAACCCAAUUAUGUUCCUGGUGAUCUGAGGUCCUGGGAGGGACGAACUAGGGAUAGUCCUAACUUUUGGCAUUCUUGUGCCCAAAGUGGCUGCUCCAGGACUUGAACCUUAUGUCAUUACAUUUGUCAACCCAAGCUUUUUACCAUUGCACGAAGCAAUGACCCCUCGUUUUUUCCUCCACAUUCUAAUUGUAAUUUUCUUUUGCACCCAUCCAUUUGUAAUUUCCAUUCUGACAUUUUGUGGAUGUCCCGUUGGGAAUUGAAUCCUUGGAAGAAACUAUGGUAAUACUGUGGUUUGCUAUGUCCUUGGAGCUGAAAACAUGCCUAUCCAUCCCGCUUUAAGAAUUAGUAUUACUGAUCCUUGUAGUGCAACAUGUUUAUUAAGUCAUGGUUUUUAUGGUGAUAAAUUUUAUCCCCAAAUGCAUCUCUAUCAUUUCGUUCCUAGAUUCAACUUGACAGAUUUGAUCUAAUGCUAUGUUCUGUGAGAACCAUCUCCUCCAUUAUAUCUUGUGAUAAACCAUGGCAUGUCAUGGGAACCCUACACUGCCAUUUUCACAUGUCAUUCAUUUUUCACAGGGGAAUAUUCAGUUGAUGAUGCAUGGAAUUUUCAAGAAUUGCAAGAACAGAUUACAAAGGGAUAUCUCUAAGAGCUGCACAAUCUGUUCCCUCCUAAGUUUACUCCAGUUUCUUUAAGUUGCUGAGAGAACGAUUUCAAUAUCCAGUCAGUUAUUAGUGAGUUAAUUGAAUGCAGAUGGGGCACAGAAACAACAGAUACAAGGGUGAAGCUCUGAAAACACCAAUUCCAAAUUUUCAGUUUUGUGAUGAACUAUUUUUCACUUGGCAGGCAAAAUUCAUGAUGCUCUGAAUUACUAUUAUUAUUAUUAUUAUUAUUAUUAUUAUUAUUGAAUCUUAAAUUUAUCUUUGUUAAAAGGAAAAAUGUUAAAAGUUUAGCAUAUUUGAAGUUUAGAAGACAGAAUUGCAAA